GAUGAACGCUGGCGGCGUGCCUAAUACAUGCAAGUCGAGCGAACGGACGAGAAGCUUGCCUCUCUGAUGUUAGCGGCGGACGGGUGAGUAACACGUGGAUAACCUACCUAUAAGACUGGGAUAACUUCGGGAAACCGGAGCUAAUACCGGAUGAUAUUUUGAACCGCAUGGUUCAAAAGUGAAAGACGGUCUUGCUGUCACUAUUAGAGGGACCGCGCUGCAUUAGCUAGUUGGUAAGGUAACGGCUUACCAAGGCAACGAUGCAUAGCCGACCUGAGAGGGUGAUCGGCCACACUGGAACUGAGACACGGUCCAGACUCCUACGGGAGGCAGCAGUAGGGAAUCUUCCGCAAUGGGCGAAAGCCUGACGGAGCAACGCCGCGUGAGUGAUGAAGGUCUUCGGAUCGUAAAACUCUGUUAUUAGGGAAGAACAUAUGUGUAAGUAACUGUGCACAUCUUGACGGUACCUAAUCAGAAAGCCACGGCUAACUACGUG
rnacentral:rRNA from 1 species